UCUAGAUGGAGAGCCCUUUAGAGUCCACCAAAUGUCCCUUGCAGGUGCGUCUUAGAGGCCCCAGGUUCUAUUCAGCUGUUGUCUCAGGCAGCCACCACCUGAAACUCUUAUGGGUCCAUAUCUGCUAUGGGUUGAAUAUGUCUCUUCCAAAAUUCAGGUGUUGCCAAUGUGAUGGUAUUAGGAAGUGGGGGAUGGUCUUCUUUAUUAUUAUUAUUUUUUUUAAAGAGGUGGUGUCUUUAAGACACAAUUAACCUAUAAGGGCUCCUUCCUCACGAGGAUCAAGGACAUUAUAAAAGAGGUUUAACAGAGUCUAGCAGCUGUCUUUUCUGCCUUUCUCCAUGACAGGAGCAACAUUCCUCUCCUGGAAGGUAUGGCCCUAACCAGAGAAGGUCACUUACUGGAACCUGUCCUUGCCUCCAUAAGUGCAUGAAAUAAGUUCUUAUUCUUCAUAAAUCACCAAGUUUCAGUUAUUCUGCUGUAGAAGCAGAAGCUGACUAAGACUCCUUCGUAGGCUCCAUUUCCAGCAAUGUCUCCAGUGUCAAAUACAGUGUUUUUAUAUCAGUCUUACCAAAGAGGUUGGCUAUCUGGUCCUUUUGUGAAACAAUAAACUCUUAGGUAAAUGAUAUCAUCACCCCCAACUUACUGUUUGAACCUAUCGAUCCAAUUUCUCAAGAGUAAAGGUUGUUACAGGGAAUCCUGCCAACCUUUGGCUAUGCCUAAAAUUUUGUGUAAAUUAGCAUAGGACACAUGAUCUCAGUGUCGUCUGUCUAGAGCUAUGAUGGGGUGGAGGUUUUAGGUGAAAUGAAGGUUGGUAAUGGCUCGUAGUCUAGACCUGCAUUCACUCAGCCCCAGGGCUUGCCUUCUCUUUCUUUAUUUACUCUCUCCCCCAUCUUCUAUUCUUUCCUUGUUUCUCACUUUCUUUCCCUCUUUCUUCCUCCCUCCCUCCCUCCUUUCUCUCUUACUUUCAAUGAAAAAUAAACUCAAGAAAAAUGAUAAGAAAUGUUAAAAAUAGGAGCCCAUGGAGCUGUCUGCUACAUCUUAGUCUGUGACUCCUUGGCCUCUCCACCCCUGACUCUCAGCACAUGGCAGGACCCAAGUCCCAUUCCCUUGGGCCUUGCUCACUUGCUCCUCAGCCUCCUUUGGCCUGAGGACUCUGCCCUGAAGUCUAGCCUGGCCAAGAGCAGCCCACAGAGCAGAGAGAGUCAGAGUGACCCACGUAUGCUGAUAAGGUCUCUGUUUGUUGAUUCGGGGACUUGCUUAUUCUCUAAAUAAACUUUCUUGUUUUAAACUUUUCUCUUUCAACUAGAGCUAAGUGUUUCCCUGUUACCAUUCCCCAGGGGAGAUGUUGUGUUUCUCUUUGUAUAAAUUUAUAUAAACUGUUCCCACACUCAUACCCACCAAAUACCAAGCUCCUUUGAUCCCUAGUCUGGCCACAGAGGAAGAUGCUUUUACUGUGAUAGAAGUUGCUCAUCCUCUUGGAGUCUGUGGGGUUGACUGGAAGAGCAAGAGGACUCUGCUGCAAGAAAGGAGACCUGCAGGACUGAAGAUAGAGGUGCUCAGAACUGGCUACAGAGUAAGAAGGAGAGCUUAGUGCUGGUGGAAACUGUUGGAGACUGGACAUUUGCCUCAGAGUUUCCUCAGCUGAGUGGGAAAGGAGCUGGGAUAUUUCUCUGCUACUUCUGACCAUCACGGACUUCUGCUGGAGACACUGGUCAUCAAGUAAUGCAGGUUUGUCCUAUGUGUGGGUGGAGUGGUCACCCUAAUGAUCAGAAAAGCUGCCAGAGAAUGAGCUGCAGGUUUCUCUAAGAAGCAGCUUCUGGUAUAGAGACGAGCUUGGUUGAGAGAUGGAGUGCAUUGAUGAGUGCCCGGUCCAUCAGCACAGGUUGUCUCUUCCCAGGACUCCCCCAACCUCUCAGUGACUUUGUGUCUGUAACGUGACUCCUUAGAUACUGUUCUUCCACACACCCAACACCUAGCCACAUUCUUGAGCUGAUCUGGAUUUCACCCACCAGCUUCUCGGAUCACUCCCAGCUGGUUCCAGAAGGUUCCAAGCUCUGAACAUAGCAGAUUUUCUUUAUAAA
rnacentral:lncRNA from 1 species